AGGACGAACGCUGGCGGCGUGCCUAACACAUGCAAGUCGAACGCUCUCCAUUCAGUAGCAAUACUGAUGAAGAGAGAGUGGCGAACGGGUGAGUAGCACGUGAGCAACCUGCCCCGAAGACUGGGACAACACCGGGAAACCGGUGCUAAUACCGGAUAUCCCUAUCGGACCGCAUGAUCUGAUAAGGAAAUGGAUUCCGCUUCGGGAGGGCUCGCGGCCUAUCAGCUAGUUGGUGAGGUAAUAGCUCACCAAGGCAGUCGACGGU
rnacentral:rRNA from 1 species